GAUGAACGCUGGCGGCGUGCUUAACACAUGCAAGUCGAACGAGAAAUGGAGACGGAAACCUUCGGGCGGAAGGCUUCAUUUCGAGUGGCGGACGGGUGAGUAACGCGUGGGUAACCUGCCUCAUACAGGGGGAUAACAGUUGGAAACGACUGUUAAUACCGCAUAAGACCACAGCACCGCAUGGUGCGGUGGUAAAAACUCCGGUGGUAUGAGAUGGACCCGCGUUCGAUUAGCCAGUUGGCGGGGUAACGGCCCACCAAAGCGACGAUCGAUAGCCGAUAAGAGAGGAAGACAGGCCACAAUGGGACUGAGACACGGAACAAAAUCCUACGGGAGGGAGCAGUGGGGAAUAUAGCAAAAUGGGGGAAAACCUGAUGCAGCGACGACGCGUGAGUGAAGAAGUACUUCGGUAAGUAAAGCUCUAUCAGAAGGGAAGAAAAUGACGGUACCUGAGGAAGAAGCCCCGGCUAACUACGUG
rnacentral:rRNA from 1 species